GACAGAGGGUGCAAACGUUGUUCGGAAUUACUGGGCGUAAAGCGCGUGUAGGCGGCUUGGCAAGUCGGGUGUGAAAGCCCUGGGCUCAACCUAGGAAGUGCACUCGAAACUGCUUCGCUUGAGUGCCGGAGAGGAAAGCGGAAUUCUCGGUGUAGAGGUGAAAUUCGUAGAUAUCGAGAGGAACAUCGGUGGCGAAGGCGGCUUUCUGGACGGUAACUGACGCUGAGACGCGAAAGCGUGGGGAGCGAACGGG
rnacentral:rRNA from 1 species